UGGCCAGAGACGAGAGUGUCCUUGACGAC
rnacentral:piRNA from 1 species